UAGAGUUUGAUCCUGGCUCAGGAUGAACGCUGGCGGCGUGCCUAAUACAUGCAAGUCGAGCGAACAGAUAAGGAGCUUGCUCCUUUGACGUUAGCGGCGGACGGGUGAGUAACACGUGGAUAACCUACCUAUAAGACUGGGAUAACUUCGGGAAACCGGAGCUAAUACCGGAUAACAUAUUGAACCGCAUGGUUCAAUAGUGAAAGGCGGCUUUGCUGUCACUUAUAGAUGGAUCCGCGCCGUAUUAGCUAGUUGGUAAGGUAACGGCUUACCAAGGCAACGAUACGUAGCCGACCUGAGAGGGUGAUCGGCCACACUGGAACUGAGACACGGUCCAGACUCCUACGGGAGGCAGCAGUAGGGAAUCUUCCGCAAUGGGCGAAAGCCUGACGGAGCAACGCCGCGUGAGUGAUGAAGGUCUUCGGAUCGUAAAACUCUGUUAUCAGGGAAGAACAAAUGUGUAAGUAACUGUGCACAUCUUGACGGUACCUGAUCAGAAAGCC
rnacentral:rRNA from 1 species